rnacentral:rRNA from 1 species
AGAACGAACGCUGGCGGCAGGCCUCAAACAUGCAAGUCUAGGGGGCGUAGCAAUACGUCACCGGCGGACGGGUGCGUAACACGUGGGAAUGUACUUAUUGGUUCGGAACAACUCAGGGAAACUUGAGCUAAUACCGAAUGUGCCCGAAAGGGGAAAGAUUUAUCGCCAGUAAAUCAGCCCGCGUCCGAUUAGCUAGUUGGUGGGGUAAAGGCUCACCAAGGCAACGAUCGGUAGCUGUUCUGAGAGGAAGAUCAGCCACACUGGGACUGAGACACGGCCCAGACUCCUACGGGAGGCAGCAGUUGGGAAUCUUGGACAAUGGGGGAAACCCUGAUCCAGCCAUGCCGCGUGAGUGAUGAAGGCCUUCGGGUUGUAAAACUCUUUCGACGGGGACGAUAAUGACGGUACCGUAGAAGAAGCUCCGGCUAACUUCGUGCCAGCAGCCGC